AGCGUCUCGCAGCCUGUGA
rnacentral:misc_RNA from 1 species